rnacentral:rRNA from 1 species
CAAUCACUUGUUUUUUAAAUGAAGACCUGUAUGAAAGGUAGUACGAGGGCUAAACUGUCUCCCUCUUUUAAUCCAUGAAAUUGAUCUCCCCGUGCAGAAGCGGGGAUAUACACAUAAGACGAGAAGACCCUGUGGAGCUUUAAACACAGAGAAGACGUACAUUAAAUUUGUUUAAUUAAAAACUCAACCUUGUACUCCCCUUCCCCUGUUUUUGGUUGGGGCGACCACGGAGGAAAAUACAACCUCCACGAAGACAGGAAGCACCCGCUUCUACAAGGAAGGGUUACAACCCGACCUAGCAGAAAUUCUGACCCCCUGAUCCGGCACGCCGAUCAACGGACCGAGUUACCCCAGGGAUAACAGCGCAAUCUUCUCCCAGAGCCCC